rnacentral:tRNA from 1 species
UGCCGCCGUAACUCAGUUGGUAGAGUGCCCGGCUGUUAACCGGCUUGUCACAGGUUCGAGUCCUGUCGGCGGCGU